ACUCAUCAGCCUUCUCCAAGGGCUCAUGCCUGUUGAGUGCCCCAGCAUCGCCUGAAAAUAGUCCAGCAAGCACACAUCCCUCCCCAGUGAAACUCUGCUAAUUUUGGGGGCCUGCAAGGUGAGUUGAUGGA